rnacentral:rRNA from 1 species
CUACGUGCCAGCAGCCGCGGUAAUACGGAGGGUGCGAGCGUUAAUCGGAAUAACUGGGCGUAAAGGGCACGCAGGCGGUGACUUAAGUGAGGUGUGAAAGCCCCGGGCUUAACCUGGGAAUUGCAUUUCAUACUGGGUCGCUAGAGUACUUUAGGGAGGGGUAGAAUUCCACGUGUAGCGGUGAAAUGCGUAGAGAUGUGGAGGAAUACCGAAGGCGAAGGCAGCCCCUUGGGAAUGUACUGACGCUCAUGUGCGAAAGCGUGGGGAGCAAACAGGAUUAGAUACCCUGGUAGUCCACGCUGUAAACGAUGUCGAUUUGGGGGUUGAACUUUGAGUUUGGCGCCCGUAGCUAACGUGAUAAAUCGACCGCCUGGGGAGUACGGCCGCAAGGUUAAAACUCAAAUGAAUUGACGGGGGCCCGCACAAGCGGUGGAGCAUGUGGUUUAAUUCGAUGCAACGCGAAGAACCUUACCUACUCUUGACAACCAGAGAACAUUC